rnacentral:rRNA from 1 species
AACGAACGCUGGCGGCAUGCCUAACACAUGCAAGUCGAACGAGACCUUCGGGUCUAGUGGCGCACGGGUGCGUAACGCGUGGGAACCUGCCCUUAGGUUCGGAAUAACUCCCCGAAAGGGGUGCUAAUACCGGAUAAUGUCUUCUGACAAAAGAUUUAUCGCCUUUGGAUGGGCCCGCGUUGGUUUAGCUUGUUGGUAGGGUAAAAGCCUACCAAGGCGACGAUCCAUAGCUGGUCUGAGAGGAUGAUCAGCCACACUGGGACUGAGACACGGCCCAGACUCCUACGGGAGGCAGCAGUGGGGAAUAUUGGACAAUGGGCGAAAGCCUGAUCCAGCAAUGCCGCGUGAGUGAUGAAGGCCUUAGGGUUGUAAAGCUCUUUUACCCGGGAUGAUAAUGACAGUACCGGGAGAAUAAGCUCCGGCUAACUCCGUG